rnacentral:rRNA from 1 species
UACGUAGGGGGCUAGCGUUGUCCGGAAUCAUUGGGCGUAAAGAGCGUGUAGGCGGCCCGGUAAGUCCGCUGUAAAAGUCAAAGGCUCAACCUUUGAACGCCGAUGGAUACUGCCGGGCUAGAGUCCGGAAGAGGCGAGUGGAAUUCCUGGUGUAGCGGUGGAAUGCGCAGAUAUCAGGAGGAACACCAAUAGCGAAGGCAGCUCGCUGGGACGGUACUGACGCUGAGGCGCGAAAGCGUGGGGAGCGAACAGG